rnacentral:rRNA from 1 species
GGACUGUAGGCUGCAACUCGCCUACACGAAGCUGGAAUCGCUAGUAAUCGCGGAUCAGCACGCCGCGGUGAAUACGUUCCCGGGCCUUGUACACACCGCCCGUCACACCAUGAGAGUCUGUAACACCCAAAGCCGAUGGGAUAACCUUUAUAGGAGUCAGCCGUCUAAGGUAGGACAGAUGAUUAGGGUGAAGUCGUAACAAGGUAAC